UCAAAGGAUUGAAGAGAUUUCAUACUGAGUUUGUAGAGAGCGAGGUUGUGAAUCACCUCGGAUGAAAGAAGCCAUCGACCAUCAAAACUCGUUCCUCGUGCUUCAACCCGAGACCAUGGAGACGCUCCAGCGACAACACAAUCAGCACUGAGUAGGAGGUUGAAACCAUGGCAGUGAUUGAACCUAAGUUGAUUUCAGCAAUCGAUCCCCAGAAAGUUGAAAUAAAAUGAAUAAUAUCAAGAAUCUGAUCAAUUUCAAUUUCAAUUUCGGAACUGCAAAGAAGCAAUAGGACUGGAUACUGGACCAUGAAUAGAAGCAAUUGUUGACUGGAAAAAAAAAAAAAAAGCAAUUGAAACUCUGACUCUGAUUCCUACCCGAUGGUCCCACCAUGUCAGAAUUGCAAAGAAGCCACGCUCAGCAAAAACUGAGACAAUUAAGGGGAAAGCAACCCCUCUACAGGGCACUGAC
rnacentral:lncRNA from 1 species